rnacentral:rRNA from 1 species
GUCCACGCCCUAACGAUGUCGACUGGUUGUUGGGUGGGUAACCACUUAGUAACGAAGCUAACGCGUGAAGUCGACCGCCUGGGGAGUACGGUCGCAAGAUUAAACUCAAAGGAAUUGACGGGGACCCGCACAAGCGGUGGAUGAUGUGGUUUAAUUCGAUGCAACGCGAAACCUUACCUACACUUGACAUGUCAGAGAUCCUUCAGAGAUGAGGGAGUGCCGCAAGGAAUCUGAACACAGGUGCUGCAUGGCUGUCGU